rnacentral:misc_RNA from 1 species
GGUCCGUCCCACCCCCAGCCGGUCAAUUGGACGAUUUGGUGACAUCACUCCUACAAAUGAAUACACCAUCAACUAUGAAGGUGGAGGAACUCUCCCCAGACCUCGCACAGCCAAUAAACUCCGACCUGUUGCCAAAGUCACAGCUAAGACCAGGGUAGAUAUUCAUGAGGUUCCACAGUUCAUAAAGGAUGGAAACAAUGCUAAGAAUACAGCACAGACUGAAGAAGCCAACAAGAAAGAGCUCAACAUGAAGGCGCUAAACCGACAAAAUUCAGAAAAUAUUUAUAGCUCCACUCACUGUCCAGGAAGCAAUAAUAACACCCCACAGGGAACCCCAAAGAAAUUACCCCCUCCACCCCCACGCCGCUCAAAUUCCAUCAGUGAGACAUCUAAAGAGACUGCUGCCAGAGAAGCUCAGUAUGGUUACCGGCGAGGGAUGUCCUAUGGAUACAUGGGCAUCAAAAACAACUUGCAGCCUGAUGUCACCCCUGAUCUCCCACCCCCUCCUGCACCCCCUGAUAGUGCCAACCACCAGCAUCUACCCGAUGACUUCCCACCUCCUCCGCCACCUCUGACUUGUGUGACUAUGGCCAGUGCCUCCAGAAUUUCUGCCAGCUCAACAAUAACCACGUCCUCCAUCACAAGUGACACUAUUGCCACUUCACAGACCUCCACCACUGCCUCAGAAGGAGAAGUAGGCGAGUUCCGGCCAAGGCGCAAUGACUCCAAUGCGAGCUUUAAGUCAACCUCCAGCACAGACUCGGACUCCAUGCCAUUUGCUAAUGAGAAUGCUGGGACCAUCAAGCAGCGAGCAUGCCGCCCACAUCCAGGCCUCAGUGUCCUUGACACUAGAAAUUCCCCACACUCCUCUCCCAGAUCUUCGCCCGCUCUUCGCCGCAAGGAGGCUCAGCCCCCCCUCAGGCAGAACCCAAUUGCUGCAGUUGAUCCAGCCAGUACAACAGCCGCAAAGUCGAAUUCAAACACCAGUGAAGUCACACUGCUCACUCAAGAACAUCAGAGCUGAUGUUAUAUUGCAACAGACAUUCCUUUUACAUUGGCAUACAUCGUGUUGCAGAAAGAGAGUACAUUUCUCCUGAUGGCACGGGGGACGUCCUGAAUGACAUCGGAAAUAUGCUCGCCAACUUGACAGAUGAACUUGACGCCAUGUUAGAACAAGAACUCACGCUUAAGAAUUAAGGGAAAUUGGAAAAUGAAGAUCUGUUCCUAACAAUAAUGAAUUCUAACAGCUAAAUACUUCUACUCUUUUAGAUUUUGAGUGAAUGAGUGAGUGAGUGAGGAUGGGAGGAAGAUAGAAUGAAGGGGAGGAUGGGAGGAAGACAGAAUGAAGAGGUUGGGAGAUGAAAUAUGGAGUGAUUGACAGAGUGAGAGUGAUGUACAAUUAGAAGAGAGAAUGUGUCAGAAAGUCUGUGGCUAAGUUAUGAAGAAACAUCCUGUAACAGUGAUUGUAAUGAAAUCAUAGAAGAGGAGAUUAUAUUUUAAAAACAUUAUCAGCAAGUAAUACACUGUUAUUAUAUAAACUUGUUAGUUGGGUAUCAAACCUGCACAGAUGUGUGUGUCAUUAUUGUAUAUUAAAAAAUAUACCAUAUGUGGAGAGAGAGAGUACACAUUUAGGACUUCUUUAAAAGGCUAUAGAUGCUCCUCAGGAAGGUUUCCUGCUCUCCGUGUCCCAAAUAUGGCACCAUUCUUCAUCACUAUUUUGACUGCAGGAUAAUGUCCUUGAUCUCAACUUUUAGUUAUAAGUGAUUUCAUUGACGCAACUGUUGAGGCUCAUAAAACCACAAGAUUAUAUUUUUCUUUCCUUUCUGUUGUUCUUUUUGAAUAAUGUAGGUUUCUGCUAUGGUUAGUCAGUGGAAUGGAGCAGACUAUGGCCAUGUAGUAAUUAUAGAGUAAAAAUAUGUUGUACAGAAACAAGGCAGUUGGAAUGAGAACUGAGAUUCAAAAAAAGUUUGCCUUAUGAAUACAGUAUAUAUAAGGUGGUGAAUCAAGGCUAAUCUAUUAAGUAAAUUGCACAAGUACUUAUGUGAAUUACAAGUGACUAUGUAGAUUGCACCAAAUUUAUUUUGAUGUAAAAGAAUAUCUUAUAAAAGUUUCUGUAUGGAUAAUGUGUAAAGGGUAUUUGGAACAAUAUUUUUGCCCUAGGGCCGAUUGCGCUAUGAUAAUCCACAUGCCCACCAAAGGCACAUCAUCAUUGAUGUGGUUAGACUUAACUUGUGGUGUAUGUUGUAUGUAUAUAUAUUAGAUGAAACAGUCAUAUAUACCAGGAGACAAACUGAGUGGAAAUUCCUCAAUAUAUCAUAUUCUUAAUUAAACCAAAACUAGAAGUUUCAGAAGUAAAACAUUGCCAAGAAAUGAGUGGUAGUUCUUAAUAUCAUUAUUUGCAUUUUCUUAAAAAUAACAAAUGGGGGACGCAGAACAUGAUCUCGUUCCUUGAAAGUUAUUAAAUCUUGCAUAGAAAGACUGUACUUAUUCAUAUACAUGGAUUUAUUGCUGCAAUCUUUUUUUCCUUUCUUUCUUUUUGAUAACCAACCCAACCUUUUUACCUAAGUUAAUAAAGAUGAAUAUAUAUUUCUGAAAUAUAGUCUAUUUACAUUUUUGUUCUGUAUUACUGGUUGCUGUGUAUUAUGAAGUGAUAUGAAUCUUGUUACAGGGGUAGAGAGAAAAACAAAACAAAAAAAAACAAAAAUAAUAUUUUGUUUAAUUACACUGUAAAUAUCUUGUACAGAAUCUGUAAAUAUCUAGGGAUAAUUCUGUGUGUGGGUUUCAACUUUAUCCAAAUACCAGAUGGAAGUCAAAGUGAAAUCUAAUGGAAUUUUGUUUCCUGUCCACUCUGAAGAGAAGGCCUUUGUUCACAAGACUAGAGUUACACUGUCACUUUCUAUGCUUGCUUCUAUGAUCUUUCUGCAUAAGGUUUUCAUUCCGUCACCAUCUCAUUGAGCUUUUGCAUUAUGAAAAGUUCACAUCGAGGAUAUAUGCCAUUUUAGCUUAUACUUGUUACUAGAAAGAGAAGAUCCAAAACAUGUUGGUCAGGGAGGGAAGGUGUAGGUGAAUCUUAAUCUGAAGAAGAGGAUGGGUUAAGCUUGCAGUAUAAUCACAGGAAUUUUCCAGAAGAUAUGGAUUGUCUGUGUGAAUUUGAAUGUUCUGUGGAUUUUGUUUGUAAAAAUACUUUUAUGACAUGUUUGUUUGAAAACUGAAAAGAUGAAGUUAAUAUAGCAAGGUUUCCAUUAUGCUAGCUGUAUGACCAUACAAUGUAGAAGGCAUUCUCAGUUAGUCAAUAGCCUAUAGCCUCUUAUGAAAGAAAGGGCUUAAAAGUGCACAGCUAUAUGCAUACACAUACAUAAACCUAUAUAGAAUUUUCAGCUCAGAAUUACCUGUGAACACUAUGUAAUAAUAGGCUGUUUGUAUGGUAGUUAGCCUACUAGAAUGUCAAGAGGAAUCAUGCAAUAUUGAGCACUGGACAGGAUCAACAAGUCCAUUGAUAGAUAUGUUGAGCAACAUUGCAUGUCUUCAUGAACAUUUUUCUCUAUGUAUGCUAUUAUACCCCACUUAUAUAGUAGAGUUGUCUUUGGUCUGUAAAAAUGCCAAAUAGUGGGACAGUUAAAACAGAAAGAUUGGCAAAGCUGUGUUUGAUAGUCAUUGCAAGUUAAAACACAAAUGUAUUUCAUAUUUCCUUGGUGUGAUCUGAACUUUUUGAGUUUUGGAAAGCAACUUUAUAUGUUUCUUGGGAGUUAUCAUAAAUGAUAUUUAACUUGUUUACAACAUUAAGGUAGCAGUUUAUAGGAGGCUUAUUUUUUGUAUAGUAUGUAAAAUAUAUAUAUAAAUCUGCCAAUUUUGUGUUGAGUAUUGCCAUCUAGCCAUCAUAUUUUCCAUGCUGUUGUCAGCUGUCUUUUUCAUUACUGUAUGUAUAUCAUAUACCUUGAUAUUGAAUAUUGAAGAAGUAUAAUCUUUAGUGUUUUUAGA